UAGCUAGUUGGUGAGGUAACGGCUUACCAAGGCGACGAUCUGUAGCGGGUCUGAGAGGAUGAUCCGCCACACUGGAACUGAGACACGGUCCAGACUCCUACGGGAGGCAGCAGUGGGGAAUUUUGGACAAUGGGGGCAACCCUGAUCCAGCCAUGCCGCGUGAGUGAAGAAGGCCUUCGGGUUGUAAAGCUCUUUCGGCCGGGAAGAAAUCGCAUGGGCCAAUACCCUGUGCGGAUGACGGUACCGGAAUAAGAAGCACCGGCUAACUACGUGCCAGCAGCCGCGGUAACACGUAGGGUGCGAGCGUUAAUCGGAAUUACUGGGCGUAAAGCGUGCGCAGGCGGUUUUGUAAGACAGGCGUGAAAUCCCCGGGCUCAACCUGGGAACUGCGUUUGUGACUGCAAGGCUAGAGUACGGCAGAGGGGGGUGGAAUUCCACGUGUAGCAGUGAAAUGCGUAGAGAUGUGGAGGAACACCAAUGGCGAAGGCAGCCCCCUGGGUCGAUACUGACGCUCAUGCACGAAAGCGUGGGUAGCAAACAGGAUUAGAUACCCUGGUAGUCCACGCCCUAAACUAUGUCAACUAGGUGUUGGGUGGGUAAAACCAUUUAGUACCGUAGCUAACGCGUGAAGUUGACCGCCUGGGGAGUACGGCCGCAAGGUUAAAACUCAAAGGAAUUGACGGGGACCCGCACAAGCGGUGGAUGAUGUGGAUUAAUUCGAUGCAACGCGAAAAACCUUACCUACCCUUGACAUGCCAGGAACUUGCCAGAGAUGGCUUGGUGCCCGAAAGGGAGCCUGGGCACAGGUGCUGCAUGGCUGUCGUCAGCUCGUGUCGUGAGAUGUUGGGUUAAGUCCCGCAACGAGCGCAACCCUUGUCGUUAAUUGCCAUCAUUUAGUUGGGCACUUUAGCGAGACUGCCGGUGACAAACCGGAGGAAGGUGGGGAUGACGUCAAGUCCUCAUGGCCCUUAUGGGUAGGGCUUCACACGUCAUACAAUGGUCGGUACAGAGGGUCGCCAAGCCGCGAGGUGGAGCCAAUCCCAGAAAGCCGAUCGUAGUCCGGAUUGCAGGCUGCAACUCGCCUGCAUGAAGUCGGAAUCGCUAGUAAUCGUGGAUCAGCAUGUCACGGUGAAUACGUUCCCGGGUCUUGUACACACCGCCCGUCACACCAUGGGAGCGGGUUCCGCCAGAAGUAGGUAGCCUAACCGCAAGGAGGGCGCUUACCACGGCGGGGUUCGUGACUGGGGUGAAGUCGUAACAAGGUAGCCGUAGGGGAACCUGCGGCUG
rnacentral:rRNA from 1 species